UGCCAGCCGCCGCGGUAAUACGAAGGGACCUAGCGUAGUUUGGAAUUACUGGGCUUAAAGAGUUCGUAGGUGGUUAAAAAAGUUGGUGGUGAAAUCCCAGAGCUUGACUCUGGAACUGCCAUCAAAACUUUUUAGCUAGAGUAUGAUAGAGGAAAGCAGAAUUUCUAGUGUAGAGGUGAAAUUCGUAGAUAUUAGAAAGAAUACCGAUUGCGAAGGCAGCUUUCUGGAUCAUUACUGACACUGAGGUACGAAAGCGUGGGUAGCAAACAGGAUUAGAUA
rnacentral:rRNA from 1 species